rnacentral:rRNA from 1 species
GACGAACGCUGGCGGCGUGCUAAACACAUGCAAGUCGAACGAUGAACCCGGAGCUUGCUCCGGUGGAUUAGUGGCGAACGGGUGAGUAACACGUGAGUAACCUGCCCUUGACUCUGGGAUAACUGCGGGAAACUGCAGCUAAUACCGGAUACGACCCUCGGCGGCAUCGCCAGGGGGUGGAAAGAAUUUCGGUCAAGGAUGGACUCGCGGCCUAUCAGCUAGUGGGUGAGGUAACGGCUCCACAAGGCGACGACGGGUGGCCGGCCUGAGAGGGUGACCGGCCACACUGGGACUGAGACACGGCCCAGACUCCUACGGGAGGCAGCAGUGGGGAAUAUUGCACAAUGGGCGCAAGCCCGAUGCAGCAACGCCGCGUGAGGGAUGACGGCCUUCGGGUUGUAAACCUCUUUUAGUAGGGAAGAAGCGAAAGUGACGGUACCUGCAGAAAAAGCACCGGCUAACUACGUGCCAGCCGCCGCAGUAA